rnacentral:lncRNA from 1 species
AUUAAUAUUUAAUGCUUGUUAAUCCAAUAAUCCCAUUUCCUUGUGUUUCUCGAAACAGGGUGUUAAUUUGAUGAGCUUAAGCAAUCAUCAAGUUGAAUAAUCAAUCUUCAUCUUCAAGAAUGAAAAUUUUGAAGAUGAAGAUCAACAUGCUUAGAAGAUUGCAAUAAUAUAUCAUCAUUUUGUUCAGUCAAAUGGUAAGUUGGUAUAAAACAGCUUUAAUGGUUAGUUACCUUUCUUUCUCCUUUUUUUUUUUUUUUUGCUUUCCAGGAAAACAAAAUUAUUGUGUCAAUCAACAUUUCACCCCAAACAUGAAAAGACAAAACCUAUAGCUUAAUAUACCUAAAUAUUUCGAGAAGAAGGCACCAUUAUAGUUCUUUGUAAAGAAGCCAUCUAAAAAUUAAAGUACCAAGCCUUCAACUUCAAUCUUGUCAAUAUUGAAACCUAUAAUAAACUGAAAGGUUUAAUUCUAGAUUGAGUCCUUCUACUAUAUUUAAACUUUGAAUUUAAUCCCCUCUAAUUUGGCAUAAUUUUGAUCUUCUACUUUUACAAUGUUAUCAGUAGGCCACACUGUUAGCUUUCCAUUAGAGUAUUAACAAAUUAACUGUAAACUAUAUUAACAGUGUUAAUAAACUUUAAUACAAACCGUUAAUUGUUUUGUAAAUUUAAAACUACUAUGGGGAUUAAAUCUAAAAUUUCAGUAUAGUAGGAGUACUAAAUUUAAAAUUUGACCUAAACUAACAUAUAUUGCUAGGGACGAAAGAUAGGUUCCAAGAAAAGCAAAUAUAAUAAUUAAAAAUUAAAAGUUUAUUUUUACCUUUAAAGGGAACUUAAAGAAGGACAGACCGAGGUAGCCGGCGACUUCCGUAACAGUGUCAAACGGGACAGUUCCCUUGGCCAAGUCCUCCAGCAAAUACACAACGUCCGACAACACCUCAACCCCAUUAAGCUCGAGCACCGAGCCUCCACAUAAGACGACCCCAACGCCUUCACGUGACCUUGCUCCGACGUCACGUGUCCUAGCAUCUUCCCUCUGUACCCGACGGCAACGUCCAAACUGGUGAAGUCCAUGGAGUAGACGUCCGAAUUCCUCACUUUCAACGUAAUCAAUAAAGACAUAUCCAACGCUAUGAUGGGUACGGUGUGGAUUUUCAUGCGGUUCACAUGCAUCCGUACGAUCUUAACGUCGGGGUCGGAGGGCCAGAAAAUGUACACCAAGGUAGCUAACAAGAAGAAGGAAGCCGUGCCGGUGUAUAGCAUCCGGCAACCGCACCAGCGGAGCCGUCCCUCGGGGGAGUAGUAGGGCAAAACGACGUAGUUUUCAUCAGGAGGUUGGGGUGGUAAAGCAGUGUAGCAGUGGGAUGGCGACGGCGGUUCUUGUGUGGGUGAUUGUUGUUCGAGUUUUGAGAGAGCCAUUGACUUGUGUCGGGUGUGAGAGAAAUGUUACUUUGGACCAGAUGGGAGUGAGGGCUGUGUUAGGAAGAUCAUGUAGGUUUUUAGAGGAAAGUGGGUUUUUUGUUUGCUUCCCCUUUAAUCAUGACGGUUGCUUUAGACGGGAAUUUUUUUUUUUUUUUUUGUUUCUCGCAUUCAAAUAAAUAAAUAAUAUAUUUAUGUAAAAGACAUAAUUAGGUAUGCAAUCAUGGAUGAUUUUCCUAGCGCUGAUUAUUUAAGUAAAGUAGUGUUUCUUUUAAUUAUAAAUUUUUAACAUAAUUUUUUGGGUAAAUUUCACCAAUAGUCACUCAACUUUAGGGUAGCUAACAAAAUAGUUACUUAAGUUUUAUUUCAAUCACUCAAUUUUGGAAAAAUAACAAAACAGUCACUAACGUUAUAAAAAGGUAACAAAAUAGUCACCGAUUAAUAGUUUCCAUUAGUGUCUUAACUGCUGAUGUGACAAGUUAACUAACUGAUGUGGCCAGUUAACUUGCCACAUUGGAUGUUUACAGUAAAAAUUGAAAAAAACCCUUAAUAACAGAGAAGAAGAAGAAGAAAAAGAAGAAGAGAAAGUGCUCUUAUGGAAACCCAAUAGGAUUCCAUCCAAGAACCGAUUCUGAUAUCGUCCAAUGGCAAACUUAGCUCGUAACCGCCGCCAUAAAACCCUCUUUUGCUUCACCAGAGCUCCCCACGCCGCCAUCAAGAACGAUUUUAGAGGCUACUCCUCAACCAUUUCAACAACAUGGAGUGUCGUAUCCCUAUUUGAAUCACGCAGGAUAGCCAAUUCUAGAUUGUGCUGAAUUAAGUAGAGAGCUACGUCUAAGUAGAAAGGAGAAUUUGAUCAGUUAUUUUAUAAAUGGACCAUAAAGUAUGGACUUAGGGCCAGUUUGGCAAUGCUUUUGAAAAGUGCUGUGGAAAAGUACUUUUGAGAAGUACUUUUGAUAAGUGCUUUGGAAAAUUUUAAGUGUUUGAUAUUCCUGUCAAAAAGUGCUUUUGAGAAGUAAAAUGUCCAUUUUAGACAUGAUAUUAUAAAGUAAUAAAUAUGUAUUUAAAUAAUGUUCAAAUUAGUUAAUAUUAUGAUAUUUUAGCAAAAAUAUAAAAAAAAAUAUAAAAAAAUAAUUUAUUAUAACUUAUUGUUAAUAUUUUAAUAUAUAAUAUUAAUUUUAAAUAUUUCUAAGUAGUUAAUAUUAUUUAUUUAUUAAAUUUAAUUAGAAUAUAUAAACUAUAUUUAAAUAUUUAAAUAUAAUAAUUAAAUAUUUGUAAUUAGAUAUUGACACAAUUGUAUUAUUUUAAAAAAUAUUUUUUUAUUUUUAAUUAAUGCUUUUAACACAUUUAUAAAACUCAUAUUAAAUAACCAAGAAAGAGAACACAAAAUAAUAGCAUCAAACACAUUUUAAUUCAAAAAGUAAGGUUAAAAAGGUAAAAUAACAGCCAAAAGUGCUUUUUGGCUGAAAAGGCUAAAAUUUACUGCUUUUUCAUCUCUAAAAAAGCUCAUCCCAAAAGUUAAAAAAGUUGCCCCAAUGAUAUGUGUUCUUCAUUGCUUUUAAGAGAAAAACACUUUUUUUUGAAAAAGUUCAUCCCAAAAGCAAUGGAGAACACACCCUUAAUAGCCCUAACCAUUAUUAAACAUCUAAUAGACUUCACUUCAUAGUUCAUACCAAAUAAAUCAGUGGUGAUGGUUGCUAUAAGCAACCCAAUAUAAUCCUCCUGAUUAAGAUACUCAGCAACGAUCACAUUGUAAAGAUACCAAACCAUGUCUCGAUAGCCUUUUUGUGCAGCAAUGCAGGGUGGUGUCACCCCCUAGUUACCCCUUAACCCUGGAAAAAGUUUGUUCUUUUUCACCAUCACCUCUGCAAUCCUAGUAAUACCCAAAUCAGCGGCAACGAAAAGCGCAGUGUUACUGGAUUUGUCCCUUUGUUCCAAGUCUGAUACGCUCAUCAACUUGACUACCUCCUCUACAAAUCCGAUGUGUCUGGCCCUUACAGCAAUGUCAAGAGUUGUUUUCAAUCGGUUGGUUAUCCUGACAUUUGCAGCACCUGGAUGAAUAUUUAGGAACUCUUUAGCUUUUCCUUAACCACCUUUCAUUGCGGCUUGAUGUAAAGGUGCAUACAAGGUAAGCCGUGUAGAAGUCCUAUUACUCCCUGCCACCCAUUAUAUUGAUUGAAUGUCAAAAUAUUGAGUUGUUCUUAGAUAAAAGUCUGUCAAAAAACCAGAGACGCUAGCUUCACCUGCUAGUUCGUCUUCAACUGUAUGAUCGCCUGUUUGAUCCCAGUCUUUUUUUGGCAUCAAACAACUUACCUUCAAUACCAAUGAUAUUUACCCAAUGACCCAAAUCUUACUCUAUUUUCAUCCACUGUGACUUAGUCAAAAAUGGUACCUCCUCCAUUAAAACAAUACCUUCAAUAUAUUACACAGAUGUAAAGUUUUUGUUGGGGAAGAUAAUGUAUCAAGAGUUGCAGAGUAGGUAAGAAAAUUUAAUCAGACAUAUGUUUUUUUCUUUGAAAAAAAUGGUGGAUUGGGUUUCAGGGGCUUUGUGUCGAUGACAUAAUUUGUCUGUAGUUUCAGUGGAAACAAUGAGAGACCAUAAGCCUAGUAAUUGAUUUUGGAAUCACUAGAGGCACCUCUAUUUUUUCUCGUCCUCCUUCCCCUCUUAUUCUUUUUCUUCUUUUCUUCUUUUUCUUUUUUUAAACCCUAAAAUGGUGCUGAUAGGGCUGUUAAAGUGAGAGUAACCGGCCAGUUGGACGGUUUUUUGAUACCAAGGACACCGUCAUCUGCCAUGUCACUUUGUCAUUAUGUCUGUGACAGAAAACAGUAAAAAGGACUGUUUUGUAACUUUUCGAAAGUUGAGUGACUGAAAUGAAACUUAAGUGACUGUUAAUCCCAAACUUGAGUGAGUGUUGGUGGAAUUUACCCUAAUUUUUUUUAUUUCCCAUCCCAUUGUAUUGCCUUCAUACGAUUUUCUAAUAAAAAUUGAGAUUCGGUGUAAUGAAUAUAAAAAUCUGAUUUUAAUGAUAGUUUAUCACUCCAUUUAUCUUUCUCAAAGCUUUGGUAGGACUUUGUUUUCUUGAUGCAGCUUUUUUUGAAUGCGUAUCUUCAUGUACAAGAAGAGAACAAAUAGAAGACAGACUACUCUGGGUGACUCAAACAAGCCACACAAUUAGAUAAUAAUUACAAUUUUUUUUUACAAAAAUUGCAAUGUCUGGCUCUUUUGUUGGGUUGUUUUUUCUGCUUUAAAUUUGUUGGGAAUUUUAAACCAUUUGUCAGGUACGAAUAUAUUUAUAUUUCUCUAACUCCUCAUAUGUACCCUCCUUUUUUUUAAACAUCCAAAAAAAAAACUUAGUACUUUUGUUCUUGUAUUAGUUAGUUAUUUGAUUGUUACGCGGAAGCUGUGAUUGUAAUUUUCUAACAAAAAUUCCUUGCAAUAAAAAUGUGAGAACAAAAAAUUGGUACAUUUGAAAUAUGAUUUAAUUUAAUUAAUUCAUACAAUUAUUUUAAAAAAAAUGGAAUUUUAAAUUUUUAAUAUUUAAGGGUCUUAUAAUACGGAUAAGGCAUCUUUUCAAGGACGUUUAAUCUUUACAAGUAUCAAGCAAAAUCUUGAGAAGCAAAGAGAAACAAUCAGCAAUGGUCCCCUUCCUUAUAUGGCAAACACAUCCCAUGUUAUCUGUCGCAGUCCAAACUACUAACUAAUUAGUUCAUUGUAUCCUCAAAGGAAAAUAUCAAUUUCAUUUUCGCAACGUUCUGGAAAAACGUAGCAUGGGAAUGCCUUAAACUUCAGACAGGAAUGAAGAAAGCCGAGGCCGGCCUAAAAGAAUCUGGGGUUUUGUUUAGUUGAUUAACACUAGCAUCUUAGACUGACCAUGUAUAUCAUAAGCCCCUUCCUCUUCUUCAAUGAUUCCACCAUAAAUUGUCCAAUAUCAAUUUUUUAUAUCCUCUUAAUGGUGAAGAUUGAAAUUCAUCUUCCAAAAGUUAUAAUCAUUUACAGAGAAGCAGUCAAAAUCCGUAUGUAAAUAAACACGUAAUAAUAUCAUCUAUAUAUGUAUCCGAAUCUAUUUUUACAAGCUUUUUUUUCUUUUUCUUUUACAUGAAUGAACGAGCAAUUCAUAAAGAAAUGUAGAGCUAUAUAUGGUAAUGAAUGAAUGAAACAACAAACUAAUUUCCUAUAGAUGCCUUUCAAACCUGAAGAUUACUAGGUAGAAUAUAAAUGCAGGUAAUAUCUAUACUCUCAUAAUACUGAGUAAAUAUUCUUUUAUUGCUGCCUUAGAGCUGCAAGACGAGUUGCCAAAUCAUCAUAAUCUGGUAGCUUAGGAUGCACAUGCCCAGCAAACCCAUCUGAGGCAGCUCGGGUGUGUCUUCCUGCUCUCUCAGAAGAACUUGUUGUUUCUUUGGAAAAAGAUGCAACUCUGCCUGGAAGUGAAAUAGGGUUAGAUUUAGUGCUUCGUAAGCCUGGAGCUUUACUUGUGCCUUCGGAUUCUUGUUUUCUAGGAGGAGGUGUUAGAAUUGCUGUCUUCCAUCUGCUCACCCAUUCGAAAGGCGACUUCUUCUUACUAUAAUGCACCAAAAGCUCAUCCAUCCUCUUUUCUUCUUCAUCCCUCUUAUCUCUGCCUUCCAUUUGUGUGGAUUUUCGACUCAUAUUUACAGCUACAUUGUUUCCAAAACCACUUAAACCUUUGGAACCCGGUGGUGGUCUCAAAGGUCUCCUCCAAACAGAUAUUGGUUCUGGCUUACUUUCACCAACAGGUUCAUUCCAUUUAUUGUUAUUCUCAUUCUCGGUAUUAUCAUUCGGUGCCAUGGGGUCCUGUGUGAUGCUUUUUUCUUUACCCAGGGCGGGCCUAACAUAGGGAGGAGGAAUAAACCUGUAAUAAAAGGGCUUCCUGUUUUCUAUACCAUCCUCAGAAACACUUUCAUCCGAAGCAGAACUACCCUUUGGGAUAUCUUGAUCAAUAACUU